rnacentral:tRNA from 1 species
GGACCGGUCGCCUAGCCUGGAUAGGGCACAAAUUACUGGGAAAAAACAGAAAUUACUGCAAAGAUUUAUUCUCAUAAACAGUGCAGCCCUCCUAAGGUUGGUCUCGGGGGUUCAAAUCCUCCCCGGUCCG